GCCGGGGUAACCUAGCCUGGAUUGGGUGCCAGACGUUCCUUUCCUUGAUGGUUUGUGUUAGGGAAGGAAGUGGACUCAUAAUCUUUUCUUUCUGUUUUGGGGUUUAGAUGUAUUCUGGUUGCGUGGGUUCGAAUCCCAUCCCCGGCA
rnacentral:tRNA from 1 species